rnacentral:rRNA from 1 species
UACGAAGGGGGCUAGCGUUGCUCGGAAUCACUGGGCGUAAAGGGUGCGUAGGCGGGUCUUAAGUCAGGGGUGAAAUCCUGGAGCUCAACUCCAGAACUGCCUUUGAUACUGAAGAUCUUGAGUUCGGGAGAGGUGAGUGGAACUGCGAGUGUAGAGGUGAAAUUCGUAGAUAUUCGCAAGAACACCAGUGGCGAAGGCGGCUCACUGGCCCGAUACUGACGCUGAGGCACGAAAGCGUGGGGGGCAAACAGG